CUGGCGGCAUGCCUUACACAUGCAAGUCGAACGGCAGCGCGGGGCAACCUGGCGGCGAGUGGCGAACGGGUGAGUAAUAUAUCGGAACGUACCCUGGAGUGGGGGAUAACGUAGCGAAAGUUACGCUAAUACCGCAUACGAUCUAAGGAUGAAAGUGGGGGAUCGCAAGACCUCAUGCUCCUGGAGCGGCCGAUAUCUGAUUAGCUAGUUGGUAGGGUAAAAGCCUACCAAGGCAUCGAUCAGUAGCUGGUCUGAGAGGACGACCAGCCACACUGGAACUGAGACACGGUCCAGACUCCUACGGGAGGCAGCAGUGGGGAAUUUUGGACAAUGGGCGAAAGCCUGAUCCAGCAAUGCCGCGUGAGUGAAGAAGGCCUUCGGGUUGUAAAGCUCUUUUGUCAGGGAAGAAACGGUGAGGGCUAAUAUCCCUUGCUAAUGACGGUACCUGAAGAAUAAGCACCGGCUAACUACGUGCCAGCAGCCGCGGUAAUACGUAGGGUGCAAGCGUUAAUCGGAAUUACUGGGCGUAAAGCGUGCGCAGGCGGUUUUGUAAGUCUGUCGUGAAAUCCCCGGGCUCAACCUGGGAAUGGCGAUGGAGACUGCAAGGCUAGAGUUUGGCAGAGGGGGGUAGAAUUCCACGUGUAGCAGUGAAAUGCGUAGAUAUGUGGAGGAACACCGAUGGCGAAGGCAGCCCCCUGGGUCAAGACUGACGCUGAGGUGCGAAAGCGUGGGGAGCA
rnacentral:rRNA from 1 species